rnacentral:lncRNA from 1 species
UUUUCAUUUUUAGCGAAAAAAAAUAGUUGAUCUUGUAAGACCUUUUCAAAAGUUAAUUAGUUAUUAAAUCAUAAGGACAAAUUUAAAAAAAAAAUUCAAUAAUUCACUUAUUUUGAAACACCAAUAAAUACCCCAACUAUUUACUUAUUCUAAAACGGGGGAGUAUAUGGCUAGGGAUUGGAAGGAAGGUAGUGAGGAGCCCUCAACAAAUUGAGAAAGUACCUCAUUAAGAAGUUGACUUUUUAUCCAUAUGAGAUUGGUAUUCAAAGAUGUGAGAGACAGAGGAAGAUGAAUAUAAAGAAAUGGUUGGGAAAGGUUGGUCCUUUUUUAUAGGCUAGAGCCAGCGACUGAAAGAAAGAGAAAAGAUUAUGAAAACCAUGAGAGAAAGGUAGUAUCUAUGAAAAGAUUAUGAAAACCAUGAGAGAAAGGUAGUAUCUAUGACUUCUCACACCCCAAGGGUAGCAUUGCAAUAUCUUUAGCUAUUUUAUAUUCUCUAGGAAAAGUAAAUACAAAAUUAAUAAAAAGACAAGACACGCAUUGCCUUGGGCAUCAAAAGGUUUUUUUAAAAUAAUGUGCAAAUACAUUUGAGCCAUGUCCCGAGGUGAUAACCACCAAGUCAGGAUAACAAAAUCGAACUUGAACUAGCGUACAUACCCCUACUCUUGCUAACACCCUUAGGUAUUUGGUUUGAAAAUGAUCAUUCUGGAAUAACUAAUUAUCCCGAAAUAAAAUAAAAGAAUACAUUUUUCUUUAUUUGGUUGGAGGAAUUAAUACAAUCCGAGAUAACUUAUCCCACCAUUUUUAUCCCAUAUACAUGGUGGGAUAUGUUAUUCCGGGAUAACCAUUUUCAAAUCAAACGAUCCCUUAGAAUUAGAUACGUCCUCUUCCUCUUUCUAAAGUACAAAUCCCUUAGCUCUUAGAUCUAGACUUCCAAUAUGGCUAGCCAAAUCAUAGGACUUAUCAAUCUCCCUCUUGAAUUUUAGAUGUUGCUUUUUGAACUCAUGAAGGAUGAAUGCCAAGAUAAACUGUGUCCUAUGUCAUCUUGAGGUCAAGGACUUUUCUUCGAGCAAACUCCUACUUCUCCAAUGUGUUGAACCUCUUUUUCAUAUGAUGGAUCUUGGCCCUAGUUGGCUCUUAAGUAGAAGGAGAUGGGGAAUGCCCCUUUGAGUGAGGGUUGCACAAGCAGGCAGUAUAAAUGUAGAAGGAGAUGGGGAAUGCCCCUUUGAGUGAGGGUUGCACAAGCAGGCAGUAUAAAUGUAUUUAUCCCUUGAGAAGGGUGCUGAUAGAACUAGACUAUAAAAGGUUCUCCUGUUGGAGAAUGGCCACUUGCUCUGCUAGAAGGGAAGCACAUCCCUUUGAUGGUUAUCCCUUUUAAUUUGAAGUGCAUAAAAUUUGGCCUUGAGCACUUUAAUUUCUGAUAACCACUAGGUUGUAAUAUUGGCAGAAAUGCUCGACUCUUGCAAAAUAUAUAGAGAACCUUUGAGCCCCAGAGUCUCACCAGUAACUUUCCUUCUCCAUCAAUAAUCAUUGAAGCACCUCAACCAUUAAGACACUUGCCUAAAAAAAGAAGCAUGUUAGGAGUUGUUCCUAAAGAAAAAUAAAAGGGGGACAAGUAUAACUUACCCUCACUAUAUAAUGAGAGACAUAAUUUAUUUAUGCAUUGAAUAAAGGUCUCUUUCAUUUUGUGAUAGUCCUUUGAGGAAAUGCCGAUAUUUACAUAAUUAGUUACCUUAAUCAGCCUUGAGAUAAACAAGGUUUACCUCACUAAGAACAACUAAGAUGGUCGUCUAUUAAUACGAGGUAGCAUGAUCAGUAGAAGGAUCUAUACCUACAAGACUUAAGAUGAAGAAAGAACUAGCAUUCGAAAACUCAAACACACAGGGAUAGGUGGAGAUACUACCUUUGACUAUGACUAGCCCUACAAGGGAUGAUCUUAGUUAAAAUAGGUAUAGCACGAGGUGGACCCCUUAUCAUUCCUUUCAUUGUCCAUAAAAUAAAAUAGCUUGGCUAUCUCAUACUCAACAAAGAUGGGAGAUUUCUCCCAAUUAUUUGAAGUUACGUAAGGUAAGCUAUCAGAACUCCCAAUGGAAACUACUUUUCUUCAAGAUUAUAUUCUCUUGUUAAUUAUGAUAGUACCAGUAAUUCCCCAAACUACUAGAGCUAUGGGGAACAAGAGAAUUGUUAGAAAGAAGUUCCAGGCUUGUGUCUGUCUGAGAAUGGAAGUGACUCUCAAAAGUCCAUCCAACAAGGCUAAGAGACACAACAAAAGAUGGGAGAAUCACAGAGUCUGGCUUCAAAAAUGGUGUAGAAAAGAGCAUAAGAAAUAUCCUAAAAAUUUUAAAAUAAUUAAGGCUUACUCAAAUAUAAAAGAUCCUUAUCGUGAUUCUUUGCUUUCCAUCCAUGAUAGCUUGAUACACUAGCACAGGUGUGGUUAUCUACAGUGGUACAUUUGAGAAUAAAGCCACCUAAAGGAAAAUCAUCUAGGUUUUACCAAAGAGCUUGCUGUCUCAAGGUAGAUGCCACUGUGGAUCUAUGAAAUAUGCAUAAAAAAGUGACGUACUAAUGAGAAGCAAGGUAAAAAAGAGAUAUAAUGCACAAAAACUUAAGAUGAGUAUUCCAUGGAAAUAUAUAAAAAGCCCCAAAGAGGCCUGUAAGGGAUACAUAAAGUGAUCAGUCCACUCAUAGUCUUGGAAUCACCCAAGCAGAUUAUAAUUAACUUAUUUCCCCAGUAGAGGAUUUAGUGCCCUAAUAGAUCAAUUUAAUUAUCUCACCCUGUAGCAAGCAUAGGAAAUAGAGUAUAAGAAGAUGAGUCAAGGUAAAACUAACACCCAACAUAAAAGUAAGUGCAUGAAUAUAGGUGAUAGUUUGCCACACUCCCGAGUUUAGUUGGCCAAGGGACAGUUAAAAAGUGUUGCAGAAGUAAGAGACCACCUCGUCUAUUAGAUUACCAAGGCCGAUACUAAGCAUGUAUAUGUAAACAUAAAAGAUUUGGCAUUUAGCAAAUAAUAUUAUCACCAAGCUUAGAAAUCUCCCAAUAAAUCCUUAUUUCUUCCAAUCUGCACUCUUAGAUAAUUAGGAAAGAGAGUCCUCCUUUGCCAGGCAGCCCAACCUGUAUACAAGUAUUCCAUUGAGAUCCUCAUUAAGCUGGUUAAAAAAUCCUCCAAAACUUUGAACAAACUAGGUACUACUUUGUCAAUAAUGGACCCAAGAAAGAAGGGUUAUUACCUUUUUCUUUACUAUAGAAGUAUUAGAUCUGAGUUAGGGGUGUCCUCUUUCAUUGAGGGAGUAGAUAUCAGGCAAAAAACCGCAUAAGAGAUUAAAAUUUUAACUCUAGAAAGAUAAGAGAUAAAGGAAAAGGUAGAAGUCAAAACCCAUAGGUUAAGUUUGUAUGAUGAAAGAAGCAAGCCCAAACUCUAUCUUGGAAAAGGUGUUUUUGAUUGAAUCAACACGUAGGGUGUGUUUAGUACGAAGGAAAACACUUUCUGCAAAAUAUUUUUUAGUUUUCUCCGAUUCUAUUUUUCAAAUCAA